rnacentral:snRNA from 1 species
GGGAGGGCGAUCUGGCUGUGACAUCUGUCAUCCCAUUGAUUGCUAGCGUUGAUUUGGCUGAUCUGGCUGGCUAGGCAGGUGUCCCUUUCCUCCCUCAUUACUCUAUGUGUUUCGCUCCCAAAGCUGUGUGCUCGGUCACGUGCUCUGAAGAUCCAGUGGCUUCUUAUGUGUGUGAUAGUCAGCACCACAAGAUUCCUGACAUUCAAGUCCAUGAGGAGAAUCCUAGCUCAAUAUUUCAUCUACAGUUGGUUUGUAUCACC